rnacentral:rRNA from 1 species
UGGGGAAUCUUGCACAAUGGGCGAAAGCCUGAUGCAGCGACGCCGCGUGCGGGACGAAGGCCUUCGGGUUGUAAACCGCUUUCAGCAGGGACGAGGCGAUAAGUGACGGUACCUGCAGAAGAAGCCCCGGCUAACUACGUGCCAGCAGCCGCGGUAAUACGUAGGGGGCAAGCGUUAUCCGGAUUCAUUGGGCGUAAAGCGCUCGUAGGCGGUCUGUUAGGUCGGGAGUUAAAUCCGGAGGCUCAACCUCCGUUCGCUCCCGAUACCGGCAGACUUGAGUUUGGUAGGGGAAGGUGGAAUUCCUAGUGUAGCGGUGGAAUGCGCAGAUAUUAGGAAGAACACCAGUGGCGAAGGCGGCCUUCUGGGCCAUAACUGACGCUGAGGAGCGAAAGCUAGGGGAGCAAACAGGAUUAGAUACCCUGGUAGUCCUAGCUGUAAACGAUGGACACUAGGUGUGGGAGAAUACGUCUUCCGUGCCGCAGCUAACGCAUUAAGUGUCCCGCCUGGGGAGUACGGCCGCAAGGCUA